AAUUAUUAAUCUUUAUAAUUUUACUAUCAAAUCCGCCUUCAAUAAACAUUUCAAAUUUAUAUUCAUUUAAAUAUUUUUAUUGUAACCCAUUUCUACUUAAAUAUUAGCUACACCUUGAUCUGAUAUAUUUUCUUUUUAAAAAUUAUGAAAAUUAACAUUCUUAUAAAAUAUUCUAAUAACGACGGUAUAUAAACUGAUUACAAACUUAAGUAAGGUCCAUCGUGGAUUAUCGAUUACAGAACAGGUUCCUCUGAAUAGACUAAAAUACCGCCAAAUUUUUUAAGUUUCAAGAACAUAACUACUACUACCUUAGUUUUUAAAUUUACAUUUUAAAUAAUAGGGUAUCUAAUCCUAGUUUAUUAUUAAAAUUUUCAAGCUUCAAUUAUUUUAUAUAAAAAAUUUAUAAAUUUAAAAUUUCACCUAAUAAAUUUAUUCUUAUUUUAUAAAUAAACAACUUAACUUUAACCAAAGAAAAUUUAUUUGCAUUAUUCGUAUAACCGCGGCUGCUGGCACAAAUUUAGCCAAUACUCUUUAAUAUUACUAUUUCUAAGUUUCCUUAAUUAAUAAUACUAAUUACUGCGAAUACAAUUAACUUAUUUAUUAUUUAAAUAAAUA
rnacentral:rRNA from 1 species